GGGGCAGCGCCAGUCGCAGCACCUGGGCCGCGGGGCCGGUGUGAGGGUGCUGGGGAGUGGGAAGCGGCGUCGCGGACGUGCGGGUGUGUGAGGGGACCCCGCCCGGUUCGCGCUUCUCCCGGCUCCCGAAAACUCCGUCUGGGCGCCGCGGGGUGGGAAAGUUUCGGUGGGCUGCCCCUGGACCGUGAGGGGAUCCUGCGAGCGCGACCCGGCCGCUCUGAGAGAGAGGAGGACGAGGGUGGGUCCCGCUCGCCGUCCCCCUUUCCCAGAUACAAUGGCAUCGGUCCUCUCCGCACGCCUGACUGUAAAGCAGCCUCCAGAAGCACAACGUGGUAUCUCAUUCAGUUGCGUAAAAGUAAAAGCUCUGCAGUCCUGGGAACCAGGCAGGUCUUGCCUCCUUCACCUGAGCCAGGUCUGCUAAAGAAAGCAAAAGUUUUCCUGUACUGUCUGUUUGAGCAUCUUGGUCCUGAUCUGAAGGCACCACCAUCUAGUGGGAUAAGAAGCUCCCAAAGGAGUGAACCUCAUCCUGAAGCCUUACUGCCGCUGUUUGCUGGCUCUUGGUCAUACUUCUGCACAGCUCUGAAGGAGGUUGAAAGAAAAUAUAACGAACCUGAUGCUUUUUAAAAAUAAAACUAACUAUUUCAUGAAAAUAGCUCCAGUAUACUCUACAGUUCUUUAUAGGAAGUUGAGGAAAAGGCCUCAUUGGGGCCCUGUUCUGCUAUUUCACCACUGUUAAAGAAGCGUGAUCCGGAGAGUCUGAAUCCAUUGUAGAACUGAGUCUCUCUGAAUCUCAGUCAAAGGAAUACAGAGUAGGAUCAGAAUCAAAUAUAUAUGAAUAGGUUUUGGUUUUAACCUGACCAGUCUUCUGUGUCUCAAAAUGAUUCUCAGUAUGUUCUGUGGGUUUUUGAAUGAAGAACAGUCACAAGAAAAAGAACAGUAUCUUUCCUCAUCUUCUAGAGACAUUAUUGACUUCAUUUUUUUUCCUCUUUCUUAUUUCCAUGUCAAAGAUGAUGUGACAAACAUUGAUAACCUACGAAGAAAUAUAUGGACUUACAUAAAACUGGCUUUACAUACUUUAGCUUCAUUGACUUUUUGAUGGAAUUAUCAGUGACUUGUGGAGGCAUAAGGAUGAUCAGACCACAAGUUAAAAGUACAGGUUGAAACACCUGUGAUCAUUAUUAUUUCAUGUGUAGCCCUCCUGUAGUUUGAGUUUUUAAAAAUUAUCCUCACCCAUCUUUCUAGUGCAGAAGCCUUUCAGUACCCUGUGAGACCAUUGCUGAUGUCUUUCAUUCAUAUUGUGAUGCUGUGAAUUUGGGGGUGUUUUGCACUGAGGAAGACUGUAAAGCAAAUAAAUUUCUUCAGAGUUUUUCUAGAGAAAUGUGUUACCCUUUGAUUAAAUUAUACUCAUCACUAUUUUAAAUAUACUAUACCAAGAUCAUCUGUAUUUUUGUCACAAAGUCUACAAAUAUAGAAUAGAAUGUAGUUUAAUAUAGACCUUGGAAUCUUUUUUUUCUUAAAAUGUAAAAGUAGGAUAUAGUUUUAAAUAAAAAAAAAAAAAAUGGACUGCGAGUUCUUUUCUAUUUUAGGUAUUAUUUAAUCUCCAAGUACGGACAUAAGCAAAAGAAUGAAAGAAAACUGUUGAGAAUUUAAAAAAAAAAAUAAAA